AGUCUCCUGGUGCUUACCACAGGCUGUGUUCUCACACUGACUGUAUAGAAAGUUUAAGCAAAGUAAAUCUACCCCAUAUAUACCUCAGUCCAGGUCCUGUGCCUGGUCUGUAUUGUGAAUGGGGUGGGAGAA
rnacentral:snoRNA from 1 species